UACGAAGGGGACUAGCGUUGUUCGGAAUCACUGGGCGUAAAGCGCACGUAGGCGGAUUUGUAAGUCAGGGGGUGAAAAUCCCGGGGGCUCAACCUCGGAACUGCCCUUUGAUACUGCGAAUCUUGAGUCCGAUAGAGGUGGGUGGAAUUCCUAGUGUAGAGGUGAAAUUCGUAGAUAUUAGGAAGAAACACCAGUGGCGAAGGCGGCCCACUGGAUCGGUACUGACGCUGAGGUGCGAAAGCGUGGGGAGCAAACAGG
rnacentral:rRNA from 1 species